rnacentral:rRNA from 1 species
AUUGAACGCUGGCGGCAGGCUUAACACAUGCAAGUCGAGCGGAGAUGAGGUGCUUGCACCUUAUCUUAGCGGCGGACGGGUGAGUAAUGCUUAGGAAUCUGCCUAUUAGUGGGGGACAACAUUCCGAAAGGAAUGCUAAUACCGCAUACGUCCUACGGGAGAAAGCAGGGGAUCUUCGGACCUUGCGCUAAUAGAUGAGCCUAAGUCGGAUUAGCUAGUUGGUGGGGUAAAGGCCUACCAACGCCACGAUCUGUAGCGGGUCUGAGAGGAUGAUCCGCCACACUGGGACUGAGACACGGCCCAGACUCCUACGGGAGGCAGCAGUGGGGAAUAUUGGACAAUGGGGGGAACCCUGAUCCAGCCAUGCCGCGUGUGUGAAGAAGGCCUUAUGGUUGUAAAGCACUUCAAGCGAGGAGGAGGCUACUGAGACUAAUACUCUUGGAUAGUGGACGUUACUCGCAGAAUAAGCACCGGCUAACUCUGUGCCAGCCGCCGCCGUAAUAC